rnacentral:rRNA from 1 species
AUUGAACGCUGGCGGCAGGCCUAACACAUGCAAGUCGAGCGCGAAAGUUCUUCGGAAUGAGUAAAGCGGCGGACGGGUGAGUAAUACAUGGGAAUCUGCCUGGUAGUGGGGGACAACGUUUCGAAAGGAACGCUAAUACCGCAUACGCCCUACGGGGGAAAGGGGGGGAUCGCAAGACCUCCCGCUAUCAGAUGAGCCCA